UCCAAGUAUAUUAGACGGCUUAUAUAAUUGUUCUUUUUGAAUGGGUAAGAUUUCAAAACUUUUACAACUACUUUGUAUUAAUUUGGAUAUGUUAGAACUUUUAUGGACCUGCAUAUAUGGAGAAAAAUUGUAUGUUGACUGCUGUAUAUCAGUAAACGACUGACAAAAAUUAAAGUUAUAUUAAGGUUUAAACUUAAUGGGCCUAAAGGAAUCCCUCAUUAAGUAUGGGGUCUUAUGUAUAAAUAUCCGGAUGUAAUUUUUAAAUUAAUUAUGGACUAAAUUAGAAUUACUUAAACCUACUUUUUUAUAAAAAUAAAGUUAUUGUCCCAAAUCAAAAAGUAGGUUUUGUUUAUGAUAGCCAUUGUUAAAAUGAGAGUGGCGGCUCAUGUCUUAAUUUGGAAGAUCGAUAACCACCAAAUGAAGAAUCGCUAUGGCGCUUAUAAACUCAGGUACGAGUUGCAACACGCAUACCAUAUUCAGACAGUUUGCAGAUUUCAGCCAGCGGAUGAUGAGUCCUCCUACUUAAGGGACUUUAGUUAGAUGUUAUUUAUGUACUUUACUUCCUUACUCUCAUGUAUUGAUUAUUGAUAGUUGGGGUCACAUCCUAGCUAUCUAUAGUCAGUAUAGUAGAAGCUCUACAGAUGUCAGUUAGAGUCAGUUAUGUAUUUUUAGUCCCUCUUUCAGACUUUAUUAGAAUGUAAAAGUUGUAUUGAUAUUGUUUUUAUGUCCAGGUUCAACCAUUAUUCUAUUUCCA